rnacentral:rRNA from 1 species
UGGUGGAGUGAUUUGUCUGGUUAAUUCCGAUAACGAACGAGACCUUAACCUGCUAAAUAGUCACAGGAAGCUUUGCUUCUUGCGUGACUUCUUAGAGGGACUAUUGACGUUUAGUCAAUGGAAGUUUGAGGCAAUAACA